AGUAAAGAAUUGUAUUUGAAAAUGUCCAAUGGAAAUGAUUGUUGCACUUAUGAUAUUCCGCCAUGUAGGUGAUCCUUCUUGUGCGCUGGAGUACAGCAGCCAUCAUUAAAAAUGUAGACGAUCAAAGCCUCUUUCUCAGACAAUCAGAAACAUGCCCGGUGCUCGCAAACUAGAAUUUGAACUGAGGCAAUGUGUGAAGACCUUUUCUGGAGGAUGGCCGCAUGC
rnacentral:lncRNA from 1 species